GAUGAACGCUGGCGGCGUGCCUAAUACAUGCAAGUCGAGCGAACGGACGAGAAGCUUGCUUCUCUGACGUUAGCGGCGGACGGGUGAGUAACACGUGGAUAACCUACCUAUAAGACUGGGAUAACUUCGGGAAACCGGAGCUAAUACCGGAUGAUAUUUUGAACCGCAUGGUUCAAUAGUGAAAGACGGUUUUGCUGUCACUUAUAGAUGGAUCCGCGCUGCAUUAGCUAGUUGGUAAGGUAACGGCUUACCAAGGCAACGAUGCGUAGCCGACCUGAGAGGGUGAUCGGCCACACUGGAACUGAGACACGGUCCAGACGCCUACGGGAGGCAGCAGUAGGGAAUCUUCCGCAAUGGGCGAAAGCCUGACGGAGCAACGCCGCGUGAGUGAUGAAGGUCUUCGGAUCGUAAAACUCUGUUAUUAGGGAAGAACAUAUGUGUAAGUAACUGUGCACAUCUUGACGGUACCUAAUCAGAAAGCCACGGCUAACUACGUG
rnacentral:rRNA from 1 species